UCCCUGGAGGAAUAGUGGUUAGGCCUCAGCGCUCUCAUUGCCAUGGCCCAGGUGCGAUUCCAAGCCAGGGAA